rnacentral:rRNA from 1 species
ACGGCUCAGUAACACGUCGCUAAUCUGCCCUAAGGUCAGGGAUAACUACCGGGAAACUGUGGCUAAUACCUGAUAAGGAACAAAUACUGGAAUGUAUUGUUCUCCAAACUCGAGCCUUAGGAUGAGGUGGCGGCCGAUUAGGUUGUUGGCGGUGUAAUGGACCACCAAGCCGAAGAUCGGUACGGGCCAUGAGAGUGGUAGCCCGGAGAGGGACACUGAGAUACUGGUCCCAGCCCUACGGGGUGCAGCAGGCGCGAAACCUUUACAAUGCACGCAAGUGUGAUAAGGGGAUCCCAAGUGCUCAAGUAAUGCUUGGGCUUUUGUUAUGUGUAAAUAGCAUAGCGAAUAAGUGGUGGGAAAGACUGGUGCCAGCCGCCGCGGUAACACCAGCGCCACAAGUGGCAAUCGCGAUUAUUGGGCCUAAAGCGUCCGUAGCAGGUUUUGUAAAUCUCUUGUGAAAGUGACAGGCCUAACCUGUCAGAGUGCAGGGGAAACUGCAAAACUUGGGACCGGGAGGGGUAUGAGGUAUUCCUGAGGGAGCGGUAAAAUGCUAUAAUCUCAGGAGGACCACCUGUGGCGAAGGCGUCAUACCAGAACGGAUCCGACUGUGAGGGACGAAAGCUAGGGGAGCGAACCGGAUUAGAUACCCGAGUAGUCCUAGCCGUAAACGCUGUGAGCUAGGUGUCGCGUAUUCUACGGGAAUACGCGGUGUCGAAAGGAAGCUGUUAAGCUCACCGCCCUGGGAAGUACGGUCGCAAGACUGAAACUUUAAGGAAUUGGCGGGGGAGCAC